CCUACGGGAGGCUGCAGUGGGGAAUUUUGCACAAUGGGCGCAAGCCUGAUGCAGCCAUGCCGCGUGUGUGAAGAAGGCCUUCGGGUUGUAAAGCACUUUCAGCGGGGAGGAAGGCGGUGAGGUUAAUAACCUCAUCGAUUGACGUUACCCGCAGAAGAAGCACCGGCUAACUCCGUGCCAGCAGCCGCGGUAAUACGGAGGGUGCAAGCGUUAAUCGGAAUUACUGGGCGUAAAGCGCACGCAGGCGGUCUGUCAAGUCGGAUGUGAAAUCCCCGGGCUCAACCUGGGAACUGCAUUCGAAACUGGCAGGCUAGAGUCUUGUAGAGGGGGGUAGAAUUCCAGGUGUAGCGGUGAAAUGCGUAGAGAUCUGGAGGAAUACCGGUGGCGAAGGCGGCCCCCUGGACAAAGACUGACGCUCAGGUGCGAAAGCGUGGGGAGCAAACAGGAUUAGAUACCCCGGUAGUC
rnacentral:rRNA from 1 species